GACGAACGCUGGCGGCGUGCUUAACACAUGCAAGUCGAACGGAAAGGCCCUGCUUUUGUGGGGUGCUCGAGUGGCGAACGGGUGAGUAACACGUGAGUAACCUGCCCUUGACUUUGGGAUAACUUCAGGAAACUGGGGCUAAUACCGGAUAGGAGCUCCUGCUGCAGGGUGGGGGUUGGAAAGUUUCGGCGGUUGGGGAUGGACUCGCGGCUUAUCAGCUUGUUGGUGGGGUAGUGGCUUACCAAGGCUGUGACGGGUAGCCGGCCUGAGAGGGUGACCGGCCACAUUGGGACUGAGAUACGGCCCAGACUCCUACGGGAGGCAGCAGUGGGGAAUAUUGCACAAUGGGCGGAAGCCUGAUGCAGCAACGCCGCGUGCGGGAUGACGGCCUUCGGGUUGUAAACCGCUUUCGCCUGUGACGAAGCGUGAGUGACGGUAAUGGGUAAAGAAGCACCGGCUAACUACGUG
rnacentral:rRNA from 1 species